rnacentral:rRNA from 1 species
UACGAAGGGGGCUAGCGUUGCUCGGAAUCACUGGGCGUAAAGGGUGCGUAGGCGGGUCUAUAAGUCAGUGGUGAAAUCCGGCAGCUCAACUGUCGAUGUGCCAUUGAUACUGCAGAACUUGAGUACAGACGAGGUAGGCGGAAUUGACGGUGUAGCGGUGAAAAUGCUUAGAUAUCGUCAAGAACACCGAUAGCGAAGGCAGCUUACUAGACUGUAACUGACGCUGAUGCACGAAAGUGUGGGGAUCAAACAGG